AGUGCACCAGUACCGUGAGGGAAAGGUGAGAAGAACCGCAAGCAGCGGAGUGAAAAGACCCUGAAACCGUACGUCUACAAGCGGUCGAAGCUGGCAACGGCGACGGCGUGCCCUUUGCACAAUGAGCCUACGAGUUACACCUGUCUAGCGAGUUUAAGUACUUAAGGUACGGAGGCGAAGCGAAAGCGAGUCUGAAUAGGGCGGGAGCUAGAUGGGGUAGACGCGAAACCGAGUGAUCUACCCAUGUGCAGGUUGAAGUCCCGGUAGUCCCGGGAUGGAGGACCGAACCGGUAAACGUUGAAAAGUUUUCGGAUGACGUGUGGGUAGGGGUGAAAGGCUAAUCAAACUCGGAGAUAGCUCGUACUCCCCGAAAUGCAUUUAGGUGCAGCGUUGGGAAGAGUAUCACGGAGGUAGAGCUACCAAUAGGGCUAGGGGGCUUCACCGCCUACCAACCCCUGAUGAACUCCGAAUGCCGUGAUAUUGCACCAGCAGUGAGGCUACGGGUGCGAAGGUCCGUGGCCGAGAGGGGAACAACCCAGACCAUCAGCUAAGGUCCCAAAAUUGGAGUUAAGUUGUGUAAACGAGGUGGGGAUGCUAUGACAGCUAGGAUGUUUGCUUGGAAGCAGCAAUUCAUUUAAAGAGUGCGUAACAGCUCACUAGUCGAGCGUUCCUGCGCGGAAAAUGAUCGGGCAUCAAACUUCAUACCGAAGCUAUGGACUCCGUCUUUGGGCGGAUUGGAAGGGGAGCAUUCUACUAGCGGAGAAGGUGUUCUGUGAGGGAUGCUGGAGCGAGUAGAAAAGAAAAUGUAGGCAUGAGUAACGAAAAAAAGGGUGAGAUACCCUUUCGCCGUAAGACUAAGGGUUCCUUGUUCGAUGCUAAUCAGAACAGGGUUAGCCGGGACCUAAGGAGAAGCCGAGAGGCGCAUCUAAUGGAAAGCGGGCAAAAAUUCCCGCGCCUGCGUACACUAAAAAGGGGACGGAGGCAUGUAGUUUCCACGUACUGACGGAAUAGUGCGUAGAGAGGAGGCUCAGGCUGAAUCGAGGGAAUGAGUUGCCUUCCAAGAAAAGCCGAAGUACGCAGCCCGUACCGCAAACCGACACAGGUAGUCGAGGAGAGUAUCCUAAGGCGCUCGAGUGAUCCACGGUUAAGGAACUAGGCAAAUUAGCCCCGUAACUUCGGGAGAAGGGGCUCCCACCGCGAGGUGGGACGCAGUGAAGAGGCCCAGGCGACUGUUAACAAAAACACAGGACUCUGCGAAAUCGCAAGAUGAAGUAUAGGGUCUGACACCUGCCCGGUGCCGGAAGGUUAAGGAAGGGAGUUAGCUUCGGCGACGCUCUUGACUGAAGCCCCGGUAAACGGCGGCCGUAACUAUAACGGUCCUAAGGUAGCGAAAUUCCUUGUCGGGUAAGUUCCGACCUGCACGAAUGGUGUAACGAUCUGGGCACUGUCUCAACCGUGAGCUCGGUGAAAUUGAAGUAUCGGUGAAGAUACCGGUUACCCG
rnacentral:rRNA from 1 species